UGCCCCGUGGCUUAGUUGGUUACGGCGUCCGACUGUUAGACCACGUGGUCGUGAAUGUCACGUGAUGUUGUAAUCGGAAGAUCGAGAGUUCGAGUCUCUCCGGGGCAG